CUGUAUCGGGCAGCCUGUUGUUGCUGCCUUUCGUAAGCGGCAAUGAAGCCGGGUCUUACGCAAUGGAAAUCUGUGAACCGUGUCAGGUUGGGAACAAAGCAGCACUAAACAGAACCUUUCAUGUGACGUAAGGAAGCCUGGCAGAGCCGGCUGCAAAAGUACCGAGCAGCAGGCUGCCCGGUACAG
rnacentral:SRP_RNA from 1 species